rnacentral:rRNA from 1 species
GUACGCUAAAAAGUGCCCGGAUGACUUGUGGAUAGCGGUGAAAUUCCAAUCGAACCUGGAGAUAGCUGGUUCUCUUCGAAAUAGCUUUAGGGCUAGCGUAUAGUAUUGUUUAAUGGGGGUAGAGCACUGAAUGUGGAAUGGCGGCAUCUAGCUGUACUGACUAUAAUCAAACUCCGAAUACCAUUAAAAUUAAGCUAUGCAGUCGGAACGUGGGUGAUAACGUCCACGCUCGCGAGGGAAACAACCCAGAUCGUCAGCUAAGGUCCCAAAAUUGUGUUAAGUGAGAAAGGUUGUGAGAUUUCAUAAACAACUAGGAAGUUGGCUUAGAAGCAGCCACCUUUUAAAGAGUGCGUAAUUGCUCACUAGUCAAGAGAUCUUGCGCCAAUAAUGUAACGGGACUCAAACACAAUACCGAAGCUACGGGCACAUUAUGUGCGUUAGGAGAGCGUUUUAAUUUCGUUGAAGUCAGACCGUGAGGACUGGUGGAGAGAUUAAAAGUGAGAAUGCCGGC